rnacentral:rRNA from 1 species
UACAGAGGGUGCGAGCGUUGUCCGGAAUUACUGGGCGUAAAGGGCGCGUAGGCGGCUCGAUAAGUCGGGGGUGAAAUUCCGUGGCUUAACCACGGAACUGCCUUCUAGACUGUCAGGCUUGAGCACGGUAGAGGCAGAUGGAAUUCCCGGUGUAGCGGUGGAAUGCGUAGAGAUCGGGAAGAACACCAGUGGCGAAGGCGGUCUGCUGGGCCGUUGCUGACGCUGAUGCGCGACAGCGUGGGGAGCAAACAGG